AGAAGCUCGCUGCUUCUCAAUCUACUGACUGGUGCUGCGUGGGGUUGCUGGCGGACGAUCAAAAGCAUCACGUAAAGGACACGGCACCUGCUAUCACAACAGUGGCUAUAUUUGAUAUGAUUAAUUGCUAAAAUCAUCACCUAGAGAAAUCCGUCACUAGACCACAUUGGAGCACGCAACCGAGGCAUUCUUUUUGACUCUGCACUGUCCUUUGAUGCUCAGGUUACCAAAGUUGUGCUUCGCCAAACUGAGCAACGUGAUCUUCAAAACCUGUUCGUAAAAAUGUAUACGAAAAUCUUGAACAUACAAAUUCGUACAUACUGGCAGUGGUUAACCACGCCCCUUGAGUGAAAAACAUGGCGGACCAUGUUGGAUUCUUGAGUGAACGUCUCUCCACCAUGUUUUUGAGGGGGUUAGGUUAGUAUUGUAUUCUUACAAUUUAACAUUGAUUUCUCGUUAAAAAUGCAAUCAUAACAUGUUUAUUUUACAUUGUUAGACUUCACGAAGUAUGUUUACAGGGUGCAGGUCCCCAUUUACUUUGAAUAGGGUGACGUCAUCAGUUGCAGUCCGUAUUUAUUUAGUAUGUAUCACUACGAAUUAGUAUACAUUUUAGGAAAAUCAGGUCAUUAAUCAGGUCAUUCCUCUCACCUGCAGACCUAGAAAGAGUCACCCACGUGCUUAUCUUCUCCAGACUGGACUAUUGCAAUGCACUCUAUUCUGGCGUUAACCGGCGAAACAUUCAGAGACUACAAAUGUUACAGAAUGCUGCUGCCAGGCUUUUAACCCUUACAAAGAGAAGCGACCACAUCACACCUUGCUGCUCUGCACUGGCUACCUGUGAGCUUUAGAAUUGAUUUCAAGAUUUUACUUCUUGUUUUUAAUGCUCUAAACAAUCUUGCUCCUGCUUACAUCAGUGAACUCCUGAGCCCGUAUGAGCCUGAGCUCUUCAGGCAGUGCCUUAUUAACUGUCCCAAGCUCUCGAUUGGUCACUAAAGGUGACUGGGUCUUUGCGAUCAGGGCCCCUAAACAGUGGAACUCCAUUUCUUGCAAACUGAGACAGGCAUAUUCAGUGUCCUUCUUUAAAUCCCUUCUAAAGACUCACGUUUACCAGCUGGCUUAUUUAUGUAUUUUAUGGAUUGUAUUGUAUUUAUUACAAACUGCUUGAUAUUGGAAAACUUGUGUGCGUAUUGUUAAGCACUUUGUAACUUUGUUUUGAAAGGUGAUAUAUAAAUAAAAGUUAUUAUUAUUAUCAUCUACAACCACUAGAUGAUAAGUUACAACCACUGCGCUCUGCUGGACUGAAAAAAUUAGAAAAAAAAAACGCAAAAAAGUGUUAUUUUUUCUUUAAAAAAUGGCACGUCAACAUUUUAGGCACUGUCGUUUGAGAAGUAGUUCACUUGACACAGAGCUGUAAUCUAGGGCUUUACCUGCCACUCUGGCACGAGGGGAUGGAUACACACUGUGCUGGAUAGAGAGCGAUGGAAGCAGAGCAGUAACAGCAUCCUUUGAAGAUUAGAGUGACUGGUGAGCGUAGUGAAUUGCUCUACCCAUGUUUCUCGUGGCAGAGACAGUUAUGGAACAUUUGUCGCCAAUUUCUGACAAAUGUCAAACCUUUUGGUGGAGGAAAAAAAAAAAUCUCUGCCAAGCCCUCCAUUAUAAAAAAGUUUUUUUUUUUUGUUUCCAGUUCAAAAUGUAAUACUAACUAUUUAACUGUUUACUAUGAUAUUUAGGAUGCCACACCCUUCACCGACGUUGAAAUUACAAACCCUGUGCUUUGAUUUGAUAACUUGAUUGAUAAUAUUAUUGUUAAUAAUAAAUAUUAAUAAUAAUAUCAUGGAAAACUGAAUAGCGCAUUGACAAGUCUCCUCUGUGCACACCAACAUAUUGUGACAAGUCACCAGCGCUCUUCUAGUGGCGGGCCGUGCAUCUUCUACCUGGGCCCUGUAUGCCAUUUUACUACAAUUGAAUAAUCUCAGUAAGAAGUGAGUUAUUAUUUGUUCUGAGUAAACACCUCAUAUUCACAUAACACUACAAUUUAAAGUAAAAUAAAAUGUCAAAUGAAGCUGCAAACUCAUGACUACUUCAUGAAAAGAUGCUGCGUAAUUAUUGCAAUGCAUUUGAUUAAAGUCAAUGUAAUAACUUCAAUAACAAGAGCAAGGUCAAGAACCAGUCACAUUAUUUACUAUAAAGCCUGACAAAACACAACUGCAGCACUAAAACACUCAAGAGGACAGGCCAUUCAAAUGUUAUUUAUAUCAUAGGGAACAGUAUUAACUAUAAAAUUACAAAAACACAAAUUAACACGCUACUGCCGAUGUAAAAACCCAAAAGCUGUUUCGCUUACCAAAUGCUGUUAACUAUUCACAGGGAAAGUUCAUCCAUACCACUAAUUACUCAUUACUCAGAUCUGCUAGCUAGUUUUCUAUUUGACAGAAGUCAUGCUGACUGAUCAUGGCCUAUGUUACUGCUGCGUUAAAGCAGACGUUGUUACAGAGGUACUAGUGGCAUGUCAAACAAUAUGCCCAACAUGUCUAACUGAAGAUCUGAUUGAUUGAACGCUCUGACAUUCAACAACAUCAUUGCCACACUUUAACGUACAAAUUCAGUCUAGAGGACCUCGUGCCUCUCUCAAAUAGAGACAUUGGGACUGAAUCUGGUUGGAUAAACACUUGAUACAAGACUGACAAUGAAGAAAGUGUUUCCCUUACCAUUAUAUAUUAUAUCAAAGGGGCCACGUCGGCCGGUCCGUUUGCCCGACUGCUAACCCUCCAUCCCUGCCAGCCGUUCCGCCCCUAGGAGAAACGCUGACGGAACCCUAAUAGCUUUAAACUGCCAUCCACCGUAAGUGCUCUGGACCAGGUGUCAAGGUAUUACAUGUGUUGCUCAAUAGCGCAGGGAUUAGGGAUGAGCAGGAAACCAAAUGGCGGGUGUGGUUUGCUGAGGUACUGUCAGCCAAUCCCUGAGCUCAUGACCUAUGGCGGCUCAAGCUGCGUGUUAGGGUGGUCUCUCUCUCUGUAGCUCGGCAUCCUGACUGGAACUACCAGGUGAAACCCCUUACCAAGCGGCCCUGGAAGCAAUCAGCUGAUUGGCGAAAAAGGGGAAUAAAAGGCUGUGGAAGCCAGGAAGUGCAGGAUGAGCUGGGAGUUGAAGGCGUGCAACUUGCAGAGUGUGGUUUAGUGUCUGUGUUGCCGAUUGUGCUGGUAAUGGUUUGUGGUGGCAUUUUUUUUGUUUCUACUGUUGGACAGUAUGAUUUUGAGUUGGAACCUGCUAUGGAUGUGUUUGGAUUUAUUAUGAAAUAAAUCCCUCUUUUGUUAAAAAUUCCUUCUUUUAUAGUUUAUUUUCAUUUGUUACUCCCCAAGACAUCAGUCGAGGGACGUAACACUGCGUCUCAGCCCAUCCUGGGGCUGAAGGGUAUUGACGUAUGGACAAGAUUGACAAAUAUAACACUGGACUUAUCGGGAGUCCCUGCGUCAGUCGGGCAGCUGAACUGGGUAACGCCAGACUGUCUGGUUCAAUCACAUUGAGCAAAAUAAUGUCAUGUCAAUGUAGCCAGUGAGGAAAUGUCCCUCACGUGAUACCAUAGGUUUAAGCCCCUCCCACUUCCUGGUUCACCAAUUAGUCUGGGUAUAAAGGCUCCAUUUUUACGACACUACAGGAGCAUGCUGUCUUCCCGUGUCGGAGUCUGGUUUUGACAACCCGUUUUGAGCUGGCAUGUAGUUUUUAUUUGUUUUCAUGUUUUAGAAAGAAUAAUUUUCCCUUAGUGACGCUCUGGUUUUUGCCCCAGACCCAGUGCCUCAAGGAGGCCCAAACCAGAGAGUAAGAGUGGAUGUGGCACUGGAGGGAGUGAGGGCCUUGUCCUAGAGCUUGUCCUCCCUCUUUUCCCCUUCUUAGCCCGCUGCAGCCUACGGCCCCAAUAGAAUCAAACUUGUUUAUUGAAACCUUUUCUUUUUAUUCUUUCAUUCCCAGAGUUGGCAGGAAUAAUUACAUUAAUUUUUUCCUACCUUUUUGAUAUUUUAAGAAACUCAAAUAUUGUACUCUGGGGGAAUAUUGUUGGUCUGUUUACACUGGUCAUAUUCCUACGGGACGAUAUCCGCACCUCCGUACCUACCGGUGGUUACAUCAAGGAGGAGGGUUUAGACUAAACAAGACUGUCGUGUCAGCUGAGAUAAGAUGACCGCUCAGGAUAUAAAAUCUGUGUGACGUGUAUGUGCGGUGUCCAGAAGGCCACUCAGUGUAUCAUCAUGAUCAGAUGUAUGUCUCAGGAUAAAGAACAUGACGGUCCUUGUACAAUGAGAUCAUUGUGCGUGCGCAAGACCUUCCUGUUUAUCAUACCUUAUCCCAGUAUAUAUGUGGGGACUGGACCCUUA
ensembl:lncRNA